rnacentral:rRNA from 1 species
UACAGAGGGGGCAAGCGUUGUUCGGAAUUACUGGGCGUAAAGCGCGCGUAGGCGGCUUUGUAAGUCAGAGGUGAAAGCCCGGAGCUCAACUUCGGAAUAGCCUUUGAGACUGCAUCGCUUGAAUCCGGGAGAGGUGAGUGGAAUUCCGAGUGUAGAGGUGAAAUUCGUAGAUAUUCGGAAGAACACCAGUGGCGAAGGCGGCUCACUGGACCGGUAUUGACGCUGAGG